rnacentral:rRNA from 1 species
GACGAACGCUGGCGGCGUGCUUAACACAUGCAAGUCGAACGGAAAGGCCCGGCUUUUGUGGGGUGCUCGAGUGGCGAACGGGUGAGUAACACGUGAGUAACCUGCCCUUGACUUUGGGAUAACUUCAGGAAACUGGGGCUAAUACCGGAUAGGAGCUCCUGCUGCAUGGUGGGGGUUGGAAAGUUUCGGCGGUUGGGGAUGGACUCGCGGCUUAUCAGCUUGUUGGUGGGGUAGUGGCUUACCAAGGCUUUGACGGGUAGCCGGCCUGAGAGGGUGACCGGCCACAUUGGGACGGAGAUACGGCCCAGACUCCUACGGGAGGCAGCAGUGGGGAAUAUUGCACAAUGGGCGGAAGCCUGAUGCAGCAACGCCGCGUGCGGGAUGACGGCCUUCGGGUGGUAGACCGCUUUCGCCUGUGACGAAGCGUGAGUGACGGUAAUGGGUAAAGAAGCACCGGCUAACUACGUG